rnacentral:tRNA from 1 species
AAGUUAGUAUUUAAAGAAUAAAAUUUAAUUUGCAGUUAAAAAUUGUAGUACCUACCUAGCCU